UAUGACUGUGACACCGAAUGGAGCGGGGCGGGCGGAACUAGCCGCGGCGAAGGGACGGCGCUGCGCGGAGCCCAGCGCCUCGGCGGCGGGGGCAGCGGCAGCGCCCCAAAAUGCCGCCCACCCUCUUCCAGAAGCUCUUCAACAAGAAGCACGGCCUGAUCUCCCCGGCCAGGGACGCCCGCGACGACUGUGUCUUCAGCUGGCCUUUGCCGGAGUUUGACCCAAGUCAGAUCCGACUGAUCGUCUAUCAGGACUGCGAAAGAAGGGGCAGGAAUGUCUUAUUUGAUUCCAGUGCUAAAAGAAAAAUAGAGGAUGUUUCAGUGUCGAAACUCUGCAGUGAUGCUCAAGUGAGAGUUUUUGGGAAAUGCUGCCAACUAAAGCCUGGAGGAGACAGCUCUUCUUCCUUGGAUAGUUCAAUCAAUUCAUCCUCCUCAUUCUCUGAUCCAAAAGAGCAAUGCCCAAAAUACCAGGGUUCUCGGUGCUCCUCAGAUGCCAACAUGCUUGGAGAGAUGAUGUUUGGCUCUGUGGCCAUGAGCUACAAGGGCUCCACAUUGAAAAUUCAUCAGAUCCGCUCCCCUCCCCAGCUCAUGCUCAGCAAGGUGUUCACAGCUCGCACGGGAAGCAGCAUCUACGGCAGCCUGAACACGUUGCAGGACAGUCUUGAGUUCAUUAAUCAAGACAGCAAUACAUUAAAGCCUGACCACAGUACAAUUAUGAAUGGACUUCUUGGGAAUAUAGGUCUUUCCCAGCUUUGCAGCCCCAGGCGGGCAUUCUCAGAGCAAGGUCCGCUCCGCCUCAUCCGGAGCGCCUCUUUCUUUGCAGUUCACAGCAACCCUAUGGAUAUGCCUGGGAGGGAGCAGAAUGAGGACAGAGACAGCGGAAUAGCAAGAUCUGCAUCUCUUAGCAGUCUGCUCAUCACUCCGUUUCCAUCCCCGGGCUCCUCGUUCAACAAGAGCUGUGCCAGCAGCUACCAGCGGCGCUGGCGCCGCAGCCAGACCACCAGCCUGGAGAACGGCGUCUUCCCUCGAUGGUCCAUGGAUGAAAGCUUCAACUUGUCAGAUGACAGCUCUGGUCCAAACCCAGGAAUUGUUAGGAAGAAAAAAAUAGCAAUUGGGGUUAUUUUUUCACUCUCAAGAGAUGAAGAUGAAAACAACAAAUUUAACGAGUUCUUUUUUUCACACUUCCCUCUUUUUGAGAGUCACAUGAACAAACUGAAGAGUGCAAUAGAACAGGCCAUGAAAAUGAGUCGGAGAUCAGCUGAUGCCAGCCAGCGGAGUUUGGCAUAUAACAGAAUUGUGGAUGCCCUAAAUGAGUUCAGAACAACUAUUUGCAAUCUCUACACGAUGCCACGGAUUGGGGAGCCUGUCUGGCUCACCAUGAUGUCAGGGACACCAGAGAAGAACCAGCUGUGCCACCGCUUCAUGAAGGAGUUCACUUUCUUGAUGGAAAAUGCUUCUAAAAAUCAGUUUUUACCAGCUUUGCUGACUGCAGUGCUGACUAACCACCUGGCCUGGGUCCCCACUGUCAUGCCCAAUGGCCAGCCACCAAUAAGAAUCUUCCUGGAGAAGCAUUCUUCCCAGAGUGUGGACAUGCUGGCCAAAACUCAUCCCUACAACCCACUGUGGGCUCAGCUCGGUGACCUGUAUGGGGCCAUUGGAUCACCUGUGAGAUUAGCGAAAACAGUCGUGGUUGGCAAAAGACAUGACCUGGUCCAGAGGUUGCUUUAUUUCCUCACUUAUUUCAUCAGAUGCUCUGAACUUCAAGAGACACACCUUCUGGAAAAUGGGGAGGAUGAGGCCAUCGUCAUGCCUGGCACUGUUAUCACCACCACGCUGGAGAAAGGAGAAGUGGAAGAGUCUGAGUAUGUGCUUGUCACGAUGCACAAGAACAGGGGCAACUUGCUCCCCACCGAGUCUGAAGAGAUGAGAGCUCCCAACUGCAGCUGUAAAUACUGCAAGUGUCCCAUUUCCCUCGCACAGAACAUAGAAGGUGUUGCACAGCAAGAGAGAGAAGACAUGCAAAGCACUCCUAAGGUAGAGCUGGAAUCUUCUUCAGACGAGAACAGAACCAUCGUUCCUGAGGAUGGCCAGGAAGAUGCCGUGGAUGUGACACAACCAAGGCCCUGCCUGGAUACCAAACUGGAGACUGUGGUGUGCACAGGGUCAGCUUCACCCGAGAAAUGUGUGGGGACAGAAUCUUGUUUGGAGCCAGCAGGCAGCGCGUGGAGGAGUGAGGAUGCGCUGGAGGCGGGCAGCCAGGCGGGAGGGGGCACAAGGAGCCCCGGCAUUGCCGUGGAGAAGAAGCCGCCCGAUAAGCUCUUCAUGGACGCGUUUCCACGCGGCGCUGCCGAGGCUCAGACAAAGGUGACUUUCCUCAUCGGAGAUUCCAUGUCACCUGACUCAGACAUCGAACUGAGAAGUCAGGCAGUAGUGGAACAAAUUGCCAGGCAUCACAGCCCGCCAGCAGCGGAGGCAGGAGUGUCUGCUGAUCAGAACUGUGAAGCUAAACAAACUGUUGAGGACCAAAAUAGAGACUGUGGGACAGCUGAACCCUUUCCUCAAGUUGCUAGUGAGCAUCAGAGCUGGAACUCAAACCCAUACAGUGCUGAGAGCAUGAGUCUGUUUGAUGAAUAUUUCACUGAUGACAGUUCAGUUGAAACCCAGACUACUGACGAUAUUCCAGGGCAAGCAGCUGCGAACCUUCUUGCUCACAACAGUAGUUUAGAAUUUUCUAAAAAGCUGUGUACAAAGGCUUGCAAACCACCUAGUGAAUUUUGUAAAUUUAUGGACUCUGUUCGACAAGAGACGUACAAAAACUGCUUUAAUGAGCAGGACCAAAGAGAGAAAAUCUCUAUUCGUGUCCCCCAUGGGGACAGGGAAAAUGUAGAGAAAAAAGUGGCUCCGGGAAUUGACUGGGACAUUCCAAGAAAUGAGAGUUCAGACAGUGCCCUGGGUGACAGCGAGAGUGAGGAUACAGGCCAUGAUCUAACUAGACUGGGCAGUAACUAUUAUGGAGGAGAGCAAGAAGACUGGGCAGAGGAAUAUGAGAUUCCCUUCCCUGGGUCAAAAUUAGUUGAAGUCAACUCUGUCCAGCCCAGUAUUGCCAAUUUUGGAAGAUCCUUACUAGGAGGUUACUGUUCCUCUUACGUCCCUGACUUUGUUUUGCAAGGAAUAGGAAGUGAUGAAAAGCUGAGGCACUGUUUGGUGUCAGAUUUGUCUCAUGCUGUGCAGCACCCUGUUCUGGACGAGCCCAUUGCAGAAGCUGUCUGCAUUAUUGCAGACACGGACAAAUGGACGGUGCAAGUGGCCAGUAGCCAGAGGAGAAUGAUUGAGAAUAAACUAGGAAAAGAAGUGUUAGUCUCCAGUCUCGUCUCCAACCUGCUUCAUUCCACUCUUCAGCUUUACAAGCAUAAUUUAUCUCCAAACUUUUGUGUGAUGCACCUGGAAGAUCGGCUGCAGGAGCUUUACUUCAAAAGCAAGAUGCUGUCUGAGUAUCUCAAGGGCCAGAUGAGAGUCCAUGUCAAGGAGCUGGGCGUGGUGCUGGGGUAUGGUCACAAACUUCUCCCAGCAGUGCUACCCUGGGUGUCCUGGUGCACACCCUCCACCUGGGCUUGUUCCUAAGCACAGCAAAAUGGAUUCCUAAAUGAGACUGGAACUCCUAAGUUACCCAUGGCUUCAGGCUUCUCCUUAGGCAUUGCUCAAUCACAAGGAUCCCCCAGCUUUUCUGCCUUCCCUGCGGGCAGGAAGAUGGGUUCAGCACUCUGGAGCUUAUCAAACUCCCUUCUUAGUUGGUCAGUCGUCACUGAACAACAUGGGGCACCUGAUUCCUCCAGGCUGACUUUCCCUACAUGGCAGGAAACACUCUCUGUGUCAUGAUUGAAUCCAGCGACCUCCCCUUGCUGGCAGCUGUAGCGAGCACUCACUCUCCGUACGUUGCCCAGAUCCUACUUUAAAAUGCCAGAGGCCACAGACUUUGACUUUUUGCUUCUCUGGAAACAAAGUGGAUGACAACUUGUUCUGGCUCCUUUCUCUUUGCAGCAAGUAAAACAAACUGCUUGUUGAGCUUGCAGCACCUCCAUAUAUGACUGCAUGGUGUGCAAACAGUUGGAGACUUCUCCUCUCCCACUUAACAAUUUAUAAAAAAGGAUAAAGAAAGGAGAAAGGAAAACUGAGUAAGCCCAGGAUUUCCACCACAGAAAAGUGGAGAUUUUAGCAAAGCUGAAGAGAUGCAUUUUUCUAGCAGUUUCUGCCGCAAUGGCUGACUGUGACUUAUACUGGGGAAUGGAGGAAGAACUGCUCUGAGAAAUACGUGAUGCCAUCAUCCCUUAUAAACUGAACAAGAGAGCAGCUGCCUUCAGCCAGGCUGCAGCUGAUGAGGAUCACGUUAGGAUCUGUAAUUCUCAAGCUGCAGUGAUUUGUAAACAACUUCUACUUUUUCACAUCAUAGUCCAAUUCUGAAUAGUUCCCAGACGAAGAACGGGGCAGAGGCCUGGUGGUUUUUUUUGCAAGAAGCUUAUUAAUGACAGUCAGCUACAGAAUUUAUUUAUGAUCUUUCUCCUGGGAAGAGGAAAUAGUGGGGGACAGAGGGUGACAGGGAGAACGGAGGAACAGGCCAACAGACAAACUAGCGAUGGAGAUUCUUGGCUGGAUGCUGUAACCAGUAUUAAAUGUUUAUAAUGUUUAAAUGUUGCUUUAUACUAAAUGAUGCUUUUCUUCAUCAACGUAAUCAAAAUGUUAACAACAAAAAUAAUCUAAAGAGAACGGUUGGCUGAAAUUUCCCCAUGGGUUCCCCAGAAUGACAUGACAAUUACCUCUAACUUUUGUAUGAUAUAUAAAAUCUUGGACCAUCAUAUUCUUUAUACAGCAGUCAGUCAGCUAUUGAAAUAAUGAACUAGAAAUAAUUGUACCAAAGCAUUGGGGACAAAACGAGUAGACUAUUACCCUUAAUGGCUCAGGUAACAAAUUGAUACAUUUUUUAAAACCAUUCUACAAAAAAAAAGAACAUUGAUUACACCAUAGUGUAGUAAUAUCCAAAUUAUUUUUUGACAAAUAUACCCUUGCUGCAGAUAACUCUAAUCUCUUUUCUACUCACUUGUGUAAUUACCAGCAGGAAAUGUUGUUUAUUUUAUUCUCAGCAUUUCUCUUUUACUCAGCCAUCACUGGUUUGUCAUUGUAUAUACAAUAGCUGUACGAGUAGCUGAUGGACCCAGCCUGGUGUAAGUAAUGUAAAUAGACAGUGGGAGGUGGAUUAUGUUUUCGAAGGCUCUACUACCUCAGUUUAACUGGACACUUCAUUCUAGGCUUUGCUUUCCAUAUUUGUCCUAGCAGCCAAUUAAUGUUGCUGAUUUUUAGCUUCUGUUUUCAUCUGUUAGGUUUAGUAUAUUGAAAUUCAUGGAUUAAAUUAUCCACACAAGUAGGAGACACAUAUUCACUUGGUCUCUAAAUUGUAUAAAAUUUCUAUAAAUACAUCAUUCUGUAAUCAUCUUUUCAAUAGUACAGCACGCCUGCUAUUGUUGUUUGCAGAGUUACUUUAAGUACAAAUCUAUUUUAACCAUUUGAUAAACUUGAAAACAAUAGGAGAGAUCCCUGCCCCACCUCUGUCAGUGACAGAACUCUCCUCCCUUCCUUCUCUGGGGCCAGGAUUUGGAGAAGUUUUUCAGUACUACUUAAAAUCUGUCACCUAAAACUCUGUUCCAGGGAGAUCUACAUGGCAAAACCCACCCCUCCCUUCCAUGUAGGACUGAGUCUACAUCAGGAAGUGACCCCAACAUUCAUACAGGCAGUGUCAUUGGAACCUCUUUUGUAUAUAAAAUCUGAUGCUGACUGCUGCAGGGGAAAACCUCAUGUUUAAUAUGUGAUCCAAGGAUUUGUUUCUCCCAUUUUUCAAAUGUCUCUUCCUUGCCACACAAUUAUAUUACAUCUGGCUUUUGGAAUGAGCACAAAACAGGGGUCCAGUUGUGUAAAUGUGUUUCUAAUGAAAUAUAGGAUUGCACUCAGAACAUGGAUGUUUAACUCUUCGCUAGGAUAUGUGGUACAGGCAGUAGUUAGGAUACCAUGCUGUGCACAGACCGGCAGCAGUGACCUGGCAGUGUCUGUGCUGCUGGGGCUGGCAGAGGAGGGUUCCUGCCUGUGCCUUGGGAGGUUCUGUGGGUGAGUUCAUCCACAGCACGUGCCCAGGGAGCUGGGCAGCUGCACCCUCACCCUGGCAUCCCCCAGGCUGUGCUCACAAUGAUCCUCACAGGAGAAUACAGGUCCUCAUUUGAGCCUUCAUAGAGCGAAUUGUUGGGGUCACUUUGAAAUGGGUUUGACUCUCCAGAAAGGCCCUUGCAUGGCUGGCAGUGAUUACUGACACGAGAGGAGAAGGAGGUGGCUGUUGAGUGGCACUUUCCCUGCUGUCUCUGCCCAGCACCAGCCAGUAAUGGCAUUAAUGAUGUGCUCAGUCAGUCCCAGAUGGAGCAGCCACGGAUGCAGCUUCCUCGUCAUCCUCCCACAGUGCCAGUCCCUCCUGGCACGGCAGCAGCCUCUCCACCUCUCAGCAGUAUUGUGGGCAGAACACAACCAAAACCCUUGCGUGAUGGGAAGUUUUCUGUGAGUUAACUUUUUGGGUACGUGAACAAUGUGGUACGUAUGUCUGUUUGUUAAAUACGAAAAGGGAUUUUUACAGGAUAUAGAAUUGACUUCUUAAAAUAUAUCACUGUUCUUUUAUGUGAAUAGAAAACUAAUGUUUGAUUUAUUUUUUCCACUACUCCCAAUCUCCAUUAUUAACAUGUCUUAAUUUUCUGGCUGAAACCUAAUUGUACUAGGCACACAAAUGAGCAAAUUUGAUUUUGUUGCAAUUGGCAAACACUGGGCUGCUAAGAACAAGAAACUGUUUAAAAGAACAGAUUUUACACCUUGCAUAUGUUUUCCCUAUUAGUUCUUAGAGAUGUUUUAUGACAAUUUUUUGCUUUCUCUAAAUUAUUUAGAUGGUGGUACUUGUAAAAUGCUGGGUAAAAUGUACAUACUUGUUAUCUCCUGGUUUUGUAUAUAUUUCCCAAGAUGUGCACUUGUAUUAUAAUAACCAUUCCCAAUUUUAGGGGAAAUUUGUGCAAUAAAUACAGUAUGUCAGUUUA